rnacentral:rRNA from 1 species
GAGUUUGAUCUUGGCUCAGGACGAACGCUGGCGGCGUGCCUAACACAUGCAAGUCGAACGAAGCUUGAGUUAUGAUUUCUUCGGAAUGAUUAAUGAUAUGACUGAGUGGCGGACGGGUGAGUAACGCGUGAGCAACCUGCCCUUCAGAGGGGGAUAGCGUCUGGAAACGGACGGUAAUACCGCAUAACGUAUUUUGAUGGCAUCAUCGAAAAUACCAAAGAUUUAUCGCUGAAGGAUGGGCUCGCGUCUGAUUAGAUAGUUGGUGGGUAACGGCCUACCAAGUCGACGAUCAGUAGCCGGACUGAGAGGUUGAACGGCCACAUUGGGACUGAGACACGGCCCAGACUCCUACGGGAGGCAGCAGUGGGGAAUAUUGCACAAUGGGCGCAAGCCUGAUGCAGCAACGCCGCGUGAAGGAGACGGUCUUCGGAUUGUAAACUUCUGUUCUUAGUGAAGAAAAUGACGGUAGCUAAGGAGCAAGCCACGGCUAACUACGUGCCAGCAGCC